rnacentral:rRNA from 1 species
GAUGAACGCUAGCUACAGGCUUAACACAUGCAAGUCGAGGGGUAACGAGAGGAAAGCUUGCUUUCCUUGUCGACGACCGGCGCACGGGUGAGUAACGCGUAUCCAACCUGCCCCCAACUAGGGAAUAACCUUGCGAAAGUAAGACUAAUACCCUAUAAUUUCCUCAGAUGUCAUCUGACGAGGAAUAAAGAUUUAUCGGUUGUGGAUGGGGAUGCGUCUGAUUAGCUUGUUGGCGGGGUAACGGCCCACCAAGGCAACGAUCAGUAGGGGUUCUGAGAGGAAGGGCCCCCACAUUGGAACUGAGACACGGUCCAAACUCCUACGGGAGGCAGCAGUGAGGAAUAUUGGUCAAUGGGCGGAAGCCUGAACCAGCCAAGUAGCGUGCAGGAUGACGGCCCUAUGGGUUGUAAACUGCUUUUAUACAGGAAUAAAGUUAGCCACGUGUGGUUAUUUGUAGGUACUGUAUGAAUAAGGACCGGCUAAUUCCGUGCCAGCCGCCGCGGUAAGAC